rnacentral:rRNA from 1 species
CACCGCCCGUCACACCCUGGGAAUUGGUUUCGCCCGAAGCAUCGGACCAAUGAUCACCCAUGACUUCUGUUUACCACUAGUGCCACAAAGGCCUUUGGUGGUCUUAUUGGCGCAUACCACGGUGGGGUCUUCGACUGGGGUGAAGUCGUAACAAGGUAGCCGUAGGGUAACCUGUGGCUG